rnacentral:rRNA from 1 species
GACGAACGCUGGCGGCGUGCCUAAUACAUGCAAGUCGAACGCAGUGGGGACGGGUGAGUAACACGUGGGUAACCUCCCAUCAGAGGGGAUAACACUUGGAAACAGGUGCUAAACCGAUACUGAUGGAUGGACCCGCGGUGCAUUAGCUAGUUGGUGAGGUAACGGCUCACCAAGGCCACGAAGGAUAGACGACCGGAGAGGGGGAUCGGGCAAAAUGGGAAUGAGAAACGGACCCGACUCCUACGGGAGGGAGCAGUAGGGAAUCUUCGGGAAUGGACGAAAGUCUGACCGAGCAAAGCCGCGGGAGUGAAGAAGGUUUUCGGAUCGUAAAACUGUGUUGUUAGAGAAGCGGGAUCUAACCAGAAAGCCAAGGCUAAAUACGUGCCAGGAGCCGCGGUAAUUC